GUAUACCGAACACACGAGAAAGUUAUCAACGAAAUUAGUCUAAAAUUAAAUUAUUAGAAACAAUGACGGUUUCACCAAUUCAGUUAACAAACGGACGAUGAAAGUUCACCGGAUUGCUUCCCCGCAACUGGGGUUGUUGGAUCCGAGCAAGGCUGUGUAUGCAGGUGUGUUCUUGGUCUACCGUAGUCAAGUACUCUUUCUUGGAUCGCCUAGCCAGAGCACCUCGCUUGCGGCAGCGUCCACGCAGAAAGGUACUGCGAGAUCUCGAAGGUGAUCUAAAGGUCACACUCCGCACCCUAACUGAUGUACAUAUAAUGUACCAGUUAUUAGGACCUACACGAUAAGACAAAGUGGUGUUAGCUUCUAAUUAGUUAGUUUGUGGACACAGUGUGGAGAAUAAAUUAUGAAACACUUGCCCUGGUUUAAUACAAGACACCAAGGAACUAUUUAAUUGACUCCGGUAAAUGGGUAAGAAUACUUUCACUGCAGCUCGAGAGAUGUUGAUAGAAAAAUGCUUCGGACAAAGUGACUUGUCCUUUUAUAGCAAUAGUCUGACGGUUCUCAAAGAUUCUGCCUAAUAGUGCUGGGCUAAUCUCACCUUCGAACCACAGACAAGAUCGCACAGUCACGACAUGCAGUGUCGAGUGAGAGAACUGAGAAGUGUUUCAAAAUUAUUUUAUUUCCCCACACUGCGCCACGUAUACGCUAGAUGGCGUUAAUUUAAAAAAAAAAUUCAAUUCAAUUUUGCUAGCAUUACAAUUUGAAUCCAAAGAAAGUUAAACGACAAAAAAUCACUAGUGACUUGUGAAUCUUUUCGUGUAAACUUUUCGUGUUUAUUACCAAGUGCAAGACAUUUUGGACGGUCUUUGAUCAUUAUUUGGUGCUAAGUAGUGCUAAGAAAUACAUUGUAGUGAAAAUAUAACCUCUUUUAUAAUAAGAAAACCACGUCUUUCAAAGUCAUCCAAAAAUACUCUGAUUAUGGCAACGCCAUCUGCUAAAACAAGCACGCACUACUUUAAUCAUCGUAGCGCAUCGCACUGACACCACAUCGAUCUAACGUUCAGAUCAAAAUAUAUGACGGAGGAGAAACAACAAUGGAGAAAUCUCCGUAAUGUUUUUAAAAAGUGUGACGUCACAUUGCCGACGUCACAGUUAUUAAGUUCUUGACGAUGACUCAUGCUUUCGAAACAAAACUUCAUAAGAACUUGUUGAGUUUCGUAUAUUUCACGAGAAGCAUAACAACGUUCCAGAAAGACUGUAACGGCUCGGAAACGAAUGAAUGAGCGCUUUUUUUUAUGAUUGAAAGAUUACUGGUGGCCCGGAGGCCUUUCCAACUUCACCAGGACAGGUGGGCGAGCAAAGGCUCAGCCAGGAGGGGUGGGAUUUGCUAACAACUGCCCGAGCGCCUCCGAAGGAGACCUAACAACUCAAGAGCAAUUGCUUCGCGAAUGAAUCUACUACCGGAUCGGAAUCGCGACCCACUGAGAAGAUCUGGCGAGAAACUCAGCGGGCUGAUGCAUGGGUUAGGUUGCACGUCGACCUCUUUGUCGAGUUCGACGAGUACGGUUACCGGGGUUCCUCAGCCUGCUCCUAGUGUUAGAGCUGAAGGUACAGAGUAAGUAAGGUAAGAGCUGAAUGAGCGCUAGACAGCACGGCCGUAUUUAUAGGGCUUCGUACACGUGUUUUAAACAUGUGAGCGUGUUUACAAGUUUUUACAGGUAUUGAAAUUACAAUAAAAGGAACUGUUUAACAUCAAUUUCUUAUCACAAAGUGAUGAGUAAUUAGUUGAUGAUCAGAUGAUCCGAUUAUCACAUUCAAUCAUUAUUAUUUUUAUAAUAAGUAGGUAAAUAGUCAUAUUUGCGCCGACACGGCCAUACUGACAGGCGGUGCGCGCUCUGCACCAGCCGUCCAUGUAUGGUGAAUCACCAGGGAGUUCUUGGAGUCCAUCUGAAACAAUGGAAUGUCUGUUUCUAGAUAGAUAUUAAGAAUUAUUAUUAAAUAUGAGGCUUGUAUUGCAAAACAUUUAAAUAUUAUUGUUUAUUAGUUGCUCAAUUGGCUGCUUUUAAAGUGACGUGACUAAGUCACGUGACCGGUCAAGAGGGGAUAGCCGGCUGAGACGUAUUUAAAAGAGAAUGCAGCGGUCAGAGCACAGUAGUUGAAUAAGUCGCAUCAAUGUAAAAUUGGCAGAUUAACUCAGAGUAUGAAUAAA